GGAACUACUUGAAUUGUACCCACGUGGUUGUGAGUAGUGCAUGCAACUGACUUCCGGUCUGUGGAAAAUGCAUGGAAGCUUGUAGAUUUCCACAAGGAAGAGAAGAAAAGUUAUGCCAACAUAACAUGUGAGACGCCGCGUCCGUCCCUCCCAUCUCUAUAUAAACUCAUCAUCCGCGAAAGAGCAGUUCCCAUCCCAUCCAGUUUCAGCUAGCAACACGUCACAAACACACAAACUAGCUAUAGCAGGUUGUCACUGAUCAUGACGAUGGCCGCACGCCUGAUGCUGGUGGCGGCGCUGCUGUGCGCGGCGGCCGCGGCCGCCACGGCGCAGCAGGCGACCAACGUGCGGGCGACGUACCACUACUACCGGCCGGCGCAGAACAACUGGGACCUGGGCGCGCCCGCGGUGAGCGCCUACUGCGCGACCUGGGACGCCAGCAAGCCGCUGUCGUGGCGGUCCAAGUACGGGUGGACGGCGUUCUGCGGCCCCGCCGGCGCCCACGGGCAGGCGGCGUGCGGCAAGUGC
rnacentral:lncRNA from 1 species